rnacentral:lncRNA from 1 species
CUACCCUUCCUGAGCUCUAAGCACACUCAGACAAUGAAUAGAAAAGGAAUCUAACAACCUUCAGCCACUUUCAGUAUAAACUAUCCAGCAAAGGAAAGGAGACUUCCAGACUUCUUGUGUGUGGAACAUGUCCUGGCACCAGAAAAUGCAGAGUCUACAAGGAGGAGACACAGCACCAGGAGAUACAGCUUUGAGUACACAUUGGUCCCUUCUGGAUGUAUUUGACAGUUCUGGUUACUCAGUCCUGAAAAGGAUUUGCAGAACAUCAAUGAAUUGAAGACACAAGUAACGCUCUAAGUUUUCCACAGGGAGUGGCAUUAUUUUCUCCCAGCGUGACACAUGGGUGAUUCUGCAGCAGCUGGACUCAGAACCUUGGCACAUUCUUGAGACUGUC